CCGGCGACCGGCGCACGGGUGAGUAACACGUAUGGAACCUGCCCUAUGCAGGGGGAUAAGCGGAAGAAAUUCCGUCUAAUACCGCAUAACACCUUUAGGAGACAUCUUCUUGGGGUCAAAGGAGGCGACUCCGCCAUAGGAUGGCCACGCGUCGCAUUAGCUAGUCGGCGGGGUAACGGCCCACCGAGGCGACGAUGCGUAGGGGUUCUGAGAGGAAGGUCCCCCACACUGGUACUGAGACACGGACCAGACUCCUACGGGAGGCAGCAG
rnacentral:rRNA from 1 species